UACGAAGGGUGCAAGCGUUACUCGGAAUUACUGGGCGUAAAGGGUGCGUAGGUGGUUUUUUAAGUCUGCUGUGAAAUCCCCGGGCUCAACCUGGGAAUGGCAGUGGAUACUGGAAAGCUGGAGUGCGGUAGAGGGUAGUGGAAUUCCCGGUGUAGCAGUGAAAUGCGUAGAGAUCGGGAGGAACACCAGUGGCGAAGGCGGCUACCUGGACCAGCACUGACACUGAGGCACGAAAGCGUGGGGAGCAAACAGG
rnacentral:rRNA from 1 species